rnacentral:misc_RNA from 1 species
CUAUUGUUCGUCGCAUAAAAACGGAUAAAGAAAAAGACUAUCUAUUUGAUGACACUCUACCACGUUUUAACUCGACGCCUUUUGAAUGUCUAACAUCUGGUAAUUGGGAAAAUCAUGAUAGAAGACCAUACGUAAAGACUGGUGUGGGAAUAAAACCAUCAGCCGUUGACAGCCCGAGACACCGCGCUGACAUGGAGAAGAUGCAUGACUUCUCUCACUGCAUGUGGGUCACCUUUGAUGGCCAGGGGAAGAUGGACACCUGUCUAGCGCAAGAUGUCGGCUCAGAGGAACCCGGCUGCGGGACGUGGAGUGAUGUCAGCUGCUAAUGGUGCUGAGCGGAGUGCAGUGUAGCAGCAGCAACAGUUUGGAGAAUACGUUUGGUGGGAGAGGCAGAGCCGUGGAUACCCUGGGCCGGGCAGGCAGAUAGAGCCAUGGUGCAGGUUUCGCUCUUGUUCCUGCUGUCCUUCAUGAGGGAUCAGCUUAACCAUGUAUGAAUUUAAUCUGCAGUUGAUGGUUGCUUGUCGGACAAUCGCAAGUAGUCAACAAAGGCCGCCUGGUGCGUCUAGAAAAUUGACAAUUUUCAACCAUGUUCCAUUGUCAAUAAUGCUAAAAGAGACUAUUUUCAGUUUUGGUUUUUAUUAAAACAGACAUAAGGUCAAACUCGACCAUGUUGAGUGUCACACUAAUUCUUGAAUAUU